rnacentral:rRNA from 1 species
AUAGGUGUAGCUUUGCAGUCAUUUCGUCAGAUCGAAUUCCCUUUGAAUAGGGGCUUGCCAAAGAGGGUGCUAGACCCGUUCGAUCGAUGUUGUGGCUGCAUUCGUUGCUCCUUGGAGUCGGGUUGCUUGAAAGUGCAGCCUAAAGUGGGUGAUAAACUUCAUCUAAGGCUAAAUAUUGAAGGGAAUUCGAUAGCAAACAAGUACCGUGAGGGAAAGUUGCAAAGAACUUUGAAGAGAGAGUUCAAGAGAACGUGAAAUCGUUAAAGUGGAACCGGAGAGAGUUGACGAAGCAUCUGUGGUGAAGACUUUCGUUGUU